rnacentral:lncRNA from 1 species
CUCACCUCACUUCACUACGCCACACGUGAGACGUGGUUAGGAGUUUUUGUAGAGCAUAUUCGAAGUAUUUGCUAUUUCCAUCCAUCGUUGAGUCUCAAAAAUGAUUCAUGAAGACUAUGUCAUAUGUAUUAACCUGACCAAGACAUGAUACAUCAACAAAGUCAACACCAAGACAUAUUGCAUCUACAUCUACAUUAGCAAAGCAUCAGGAGAUUGAAGUCAUGCAAACCGAUCCUAGACAACCUUGCCGACCUCUACACGACUUUAUUGCCAAAGUUAACAUUCCAGAAGCUUGUCUGAGGAAUUGGUAUGCCUAACUAUUCUUAUGCGAUGCUUGUAGUUCUCAUUUGGAAGUUCUGUCAAACUCAGAGGGAGUAUCUAGAAGUAUACUCACUUGAUCUUAAUGUUCUAUUUUUCCUUAUGAUUAGGAGCAUUUUUCUCAUUGGGCUUUUGUUACCUAACUAGGUUUUAACGAGGCACCCAUUAUGGGAUGAUCAUACCCUUGUAAGCUCUUCUACUUGCGUCCAGAAGAUGUAUAGUUUUGACUUAAUAUAACUUCUCACUUUUCUCUUUAGUUUAUGGGUUUUUCUCCCACCUUGGGUUUUACCAUAGCGAGGUUUUGUGAGUUUUACCUUUUUAUGCGUUCUUCUGUUAAUUUGAGACUCGCAUUCGCUCAUUGUGCCGACGACUUCAUCAACUAUACUUACUUCAUCGCUGAAGACCUGAUGUGCCAUUUACUUGAGUAUUUACACACUUAAAUGAGAGUGUUGCAGUCCUAUUAGAUUAGGAAUGUGAUUGUGUAAAUCCUAAUAGAUCUAGGAAUAUCUCUUUAUAUUCCUAUUAUGAGUUGAUUACCUAUUAAGAGUUGUAAUUCUAAAAGGGUAAAGAUUUUACCUAUUCUACUAUUAUAAAUAAAGGCACAAUAGGGUGAAAUAGAAUACACCUCACAAUUGCACAUCUCUCUCUUUCUCUCUACUAUUGCUGCACCCUCUUUAUGACUUCUAUAAUUGUUCAGUAAAUUAUACUUACAACACUUUUAAUCCCUUCAUGUUCAGGGGUGUAAUAUCUACACACCCCAUUUUACUUCUCACACACCCUUCUAAUUUUCAG